rnacentral:rRNA from 1 species
GAUGAACGCUAGCGGCAGGCUUAAUACAUGCAAGUCGAGGGGCAGCAGCUUUGUAGCAAUACAAGGGCUGGCGACCGGCAAACGGGUGCGGAACACGUACGCAACCUUCCUUUAACUGGGAGAUAGCCCACCGAAAGGUGGAUUAAUAUCCCAUAGUAUAUUUGAGUGGCAUCACUUAGAUAUUAAAGCUCCGGCGGUUAAAGAUGGGCGUGCGUCUGAUUAGGUAGUUGGCGGGGUAACGGCCCACCAAGCCCACGAUCAGUAGCUGAUGUGAGAGCAUGAUCAGCCACACGGGCACUGAGACACGGCCCAGACUCCUACGGGAGGCAGCAGUGGGGAAUUUUGGACAAUGGGCGCAAGCCUGAUCCAGCCAUUCCGCGUGCAGGAUGAAGGCCUUCGGGUUGUAAACUGCUUUUGUACGGAACGAAAAGGCUCUGGUUAAUACCCGGGGCUCAUGACGGUACCGUAAGAAUAAGCACCGGCUAACUACGUGCCAGCCGCCGCGGUAA